rnacentral:rRNA from 1 species
AGAAUCAACGCUGGCGGCGUGCCUAACACAUGCAAGUCGAACGAGAAAGUGGAGCAAUCCACAAGUAAAGUGGCGCACGGGUGAGUAACACGUGACUAACCUACCCUUGAGUGGGGGAUAACCUAGAGAAAUCUGGGCUAAUACCGCAUAAUACCUUCGGGUCAAAGGAGCAAUUCGCUUAAGGAGGGGUCGCGGCCGAUUAGUUAGUUGGCGGGGUAAUGGCCCACCAAGACUAUGAUCGGUAU